ACGAGAAAGCCCUUCGGGGUGAGUACAGUGGCGAACGGGUGAGUAACACGUGGGCAACUUGUCCCUUGUGGGGGGACAACCGGAGGAAACUCCGGCUAAUACCCCGUAAGCUUGCCGGGCCGCAUGGCCUGGCAAGGAGAGGUAGCUUCGGCCAUCCGGCGAGGGAGAGGCCCGCGGUGCAUUAGCUAGUUGGUGGGGUAACGGCUCACCAAGGCGACGAUGCAUAGCUGGUCUGAGAGGAUGAUCAGCCACACUGGGACUGAGACACGGCCCAGACUCCUACGGGAGGCAGCAGCCAGGAAUCUUGCGCAAUGGGCKAAAGCCUGACCCAGCAACACCGUGUGGGCGAGGAAGGUCUUCGGAUCGUAAAGCCCUGUUGUUGGGGAUGAAGGUCGAAGGGUUAAUA
rnacentral:rRNA from 1 species